UACAGAGGUCUCAAGCGUUGUUCGGAAUUACUGGGCGUAAAGGGCGCGUAGGCGGCAAUUCAAGUCAUCUGUGAAAUCUCCGGGCUUAACCCGGAACGGUCAGGUGAUACUGUUUUGCUAGAGUGCGGAAGGGGCAAUCGGAAUUCUCGGUGUAGCGGUGAAAUGCGUAGAUAUCGAGAGGAACACCAGAGGUGAAGACGGGUUGCUGGGCCGACACUGACGCUGACAGCGCGAAAGCCAGGGGAGCAAACGGG
rnacentral:rRNA from 1 species